rnacentral:rRNA from 1 species
GACGAACGCUGGCGGCGUGCUUAACACAUGCAAGUCGAACGAUGAAGAAGAGCUUGCUCUUCGGAUUAGUGGCGAACGGGUGAGUAACACGUGACUAACCUGCCCCUUUCUCUGGGAUAACGCUCCGAAAGGAGUGCUAAUACCGGAUACUCACAUAGAGGCACAUGCCUUGAUGUGGAAAGUUUUUCGGAAAGGGAUGGAGUCGCGGCCUAUCAGCUUGUUGGUGAGGUAACGGCGCACCAAGGCGACGACGGGUAGCCGGCCUGAGAGGGCGACCGGCCACACUGGGACUGAGACACGGCCCAGACUCCUACGGGAGGCAGCAGUGGGGAAUAUUGCACAAUGGGCGAAAGCCUGAUGCAGCGACGCCGCGUGAGGGAUGAAGGUCUUCGGAUUGUAAACCUCUUUCAGUAGGGACGAAGCGAAAGUGACGGUACCUAAAGAAGAAGCACCGGCUAACUACGUGCCAGCAGCCGCGGUAA